UUAAUUGAAGCCAAAUAGAGGCUUAUUACUGUUAAUAAUAAYAUUGAAUUAUAAAAUUCCAAUUAAA
rnacentral:tRNA from 1 species